rnacentral:lncRNA from 1 species
UGCACAGCACAGGAGCUAGAGCAGGAAGUCCUAGAUUCAAGUCUCAACUCUGAAAUAUACUUGCUAUUUAUAGAUCUUGAGUAAUUCACUUAAUCUCAAAAUCCUUUGGUAGUCGGACUCUAUAACUAUGAGGAAGCCGAGACUCAGAGGACUCGAGUGAUUUUUUUCCCCCAAGGUCACAUAGUAAGUAGGAGACAGAGUCAGGACAGGAAUCCAGAACUCCUGACUUGAGGAACAGUGCUCAUUUUCUUCAUGACACUACCUGAUAAUAUGAGUGCAUUAAUUUUGAAUAAAAAGUUUUAUUUUCAUAUU